rnacentral:rRNA from 1 species
GAUGAACGCUAGCGGCAGGCUUAAUACAUGCAAGUCGAGGGGCAGCGGGGGUAGCAAUACCUGCCGGCGACCGGCAAACGGGUGCGGAACACGUACAGAACCUUCCUUUAAGCGGGGGAUAGCCCGGAGAAAUCCGGAUUAAUACCCCAUAGUAAUGUUGGUUGGCAUCAAUUGACAUUUAAAGAUUGAUCACUUAAAGAUGGCUGUGCGGCUGAUUAGGUAGUUGGUUGAGGUAAAGGCNCACCAAGCCAGCGAU